rnacentral:rRNA from 1 species
UACGGAGGGAGCUAGCGUUGUUCGGAAUUACUGGGCGUAAAGCGCACGUAGGCGGCUUUGUAAGUUAGGGGUGAAAGCCUGGAGCUCAACUUCAGAAUUGCCCUUAAGACUGCAUCGCUUGAAUCCAGGAGAGGUGAGUGGAAUUCCGAGUGUAGAGGUGAAAUUCGUAGAUAUUCGGAAGAACACCAGUGGCGAAGGCGGCUCACUGGACUGGUAUUGACGCUGAGGUGCGAAAGCGUGGGGAGCAAACAGG